rnacentral:rRNA from 1 species
UGCGACCCCAGUCAGGCG